AACGCUGGCGGCGUGCUUAACCCAUGCAAGUCGAACGGUGCAGCGCCUUCCUUUUUGGUGGGUGUGGAUGAGUGGCGAACGGGUGAGUAACACGUGAGUAACCUGCCCCCUUCUUCUGGAUAACCGCAUGAAAGUGUGGCUAAUACGGGAUAUUCUGGGUCUGUCGCAUGAUGGGUCUGGGAAAGAUAUUGUUUCGGUGGGGGAUGGGCUCGCGGCCUAUCAGCUUGUUGGUGGGGUGAUGGCCUACCAAGGCGGUGACGGGUAGCCGGCCUGAGAGGGUGGACGGUCACACUGGGACUGAGACACGGCCCAGACUCCUACGGGAGGCAGCAGUGGGGAAUAUUGCACAAUGGGCGCAAGCCUGAUGCAGCGACGCCGCGUGAGGGAUGGAGGCCUUCGGGUUGUGAACCUCUUUCGCCAGUGAAGCAGGCCUGCCUCGUUUGUGGGUGGGUUGACGGUAGCUGGAUAAGAAGCGCCGGCUAACUACGUG
rnacentral:rRNA from 1 species